rnacentral:lncRNA from 1 species
UUGCGAACAUCUAUGAUAUUUUUUCAGAAUUUUUUGACACGUCCAAAUUUGAAUCUUACAAGUUGGUAUCAUGGUAUCAUUGAAGGACUGAUAUCACCUGAAGCUUUCCCACACAAACACGUCGACCCCAUGGCCACAACGCCACCUAGCUUCCCCUCCCCGCGGCACGCUCCAAUGCCACUCCGAAAAAUUUCUCCAUUGAUUUCCACACGGCCCAGAUGCUAGCCUACACAAAAUGCUACUAGCUUACACAAACACGGGAAAGGACAAUAUGCUGAUACCAACUCUUAAAUGCUACCAACUUGCAAAAUUCAAAUUUAAACAUGUCAAAAAAUUCUGAAAAAAAUCAUGCAUGUUCACAACACAUAUGUCGACAACCCCUAAAAAAGUCAGUUCAAAAUUCAAAAUAGAAACAAAAAAAGACAAAUUCAUAUGUGAAUAGUGUCAUUUUUGUUUUUGUCUUGUUUUGACAAUAUUCAUGAUGGAUUUGCCGUUUUUGUUUCACUUUGUGUAUGUCGAAUUUUGAUCUGAUUUUUUAGCGGUUGUUAACCCAUGUGUUGCGAACAUCUAUGAUAUUUUUUCAGAAUUUUUUGACACGUCCAAAUUUGAAUCUUACAAGUUGGUAUCAUGGUAUCAUUGAAGGACUGAUAUCACCUGAAGCUUUCCCACACAAACACGUCGACCCCAUGGCCACAACGCCACCUAGCUUCCCCUCCCCGCGGCACGCUCCAAUGCCACUCCGAAAAAUUUCUCCAUUGAUUUCCACACGGCCCAGAUGCUAGCCUACACAAAAUGCUACUAGCUUACACAAACACGGGAAAGGACAAUAUGCUGAUAUCAACUCUUAAAUGCUACCAACUUGCAAAAUUCAAAUUUAAACAUGUCAAAAAAUUCUGAAAAAAAUCAUGCAUGUUCACAACACAUAUGUCGACAACCCCUAAAAAAGUCAGUUCAAAAUUCAAAAUAGAAACAAAAAAAGACAAAUUCAGAUGUGAAUAGUGUCAUUUUUGUUUUUGUCUUGUUUUGACAAUAUUCAUGAUGGAUUUGCCGUUUUUGUUUCACUUUGUGUAUGUCGAAUUUUGAUCUGAUUUUUUAGCGGUUGUUAACCCAUGUGUUGCGAACAUCUAUGAUAUUUUUUCAGAAUUUUUUGACACGUCCAAAUUUGAAUCUUACAAGUUGGUAUCAUGGUAUCAUUGAAGGACUGAUAUCACCUGAAGCUUUCCCACACAAACACGUCGACCCCAUGGCCAGAACGCCACCUAGCUUCCCCUCCCCGCGGCACGCUCCAAUGCCACUCCGAAAAAUUUCUCCAUUGAUUUCCACACGGCCCAGAUGCUAGCCUACACAAAAUGCUACUAGCUUACACAAACACGGGAAAGGACAAUAUGCUGAUACCAACUCUUAAAUGCUACCAACUUGCAAAAUUCAAAUUUAAACAUGUCAAAAAAUUCUGAAAAAAAUCAUGCAUGUUCACAACACAUAUGUCGACAACCCCUAAAAAAGUCAGUUCAAAAUUCAAAAUAGAAACAAAAAAAGACAAAUUCAGAUGUGAAUAGUGUCAUUUUUGUUUUUGUCUUGUUUUGACAAUAUUCAUGAUGGAUUUGCCGUUUUUGUUUCACUUUGUGUAUGUCGAAUUUUGAUCUGAUUUUUUAGCGGUUGUUAACCCAUGUGUUGCGAACAUCUAUGAUAUUUUUUCAGAAUUUUUUGACACGUCCAAAUUUGAAUCUUACAAGUUGGUAUCAUGGUAUCAUUGAAGGACUGAUAUCACCUGAAGCUUUCCCACACAAACACGUCGACCCCAUGGCCAGAACGCCACCUAGCUUCCCCUCCCCGUGGC